rnacentral:rRNA from 1 species
CUUGAACGCUGGCGGCAGGCCUAACACAUGCAAGUCGAACGAGUGGCGGACGGGGGAGUAAGGUCUGGGACACUGCCUGAUGGAGGGGGCUAACUACUGGAAACGGUAGCUAAUACCGAAUAACAUCGGAGUGGACCAGAUGGGAUUGGCUAGUAGGUGGGGUAAAUGCUCACCUAGGCGACGAUCCCUAGCUGGUCUGAGAGGAUGACCAGCCACACUGGAACUGAGACACGGUCCAGACUCCUACGGGAGGCAGCAGUGGGGUAUAUUGCACAAUGGGCGCAAGCCUGAUGCAGCCGUGCCGCGUGUAUGAAGAAGGCCUUCGGGUUGUAAAGUACUUUCAGCGGGGAGGCGUUACCCGCAGAAGAAGCACCGGCUAACUCCGUGCCAGCAGCCGCGGUAAUUC